rnacentral:rRNA from 1 species
UUGACCUCGAAUCGAGGUAGGAAUACCACGCUGUAACUUAAGCAUAUCAAUAAGCGGAGGAAAAGAAACCAACCGGGAUUACCUCAGUAACGGCGAGGAAAACCGGCAAUAUGGGAAGUAAAAAGUCGUAACCAAGGGUAACGGACAAGUAGUGGUCAGGAAAGCAAACA